AGUCCUUCGGGACUUGAGAGCGGCGCACGGGUGAGUAACGCGUACAUGACCUGCCUUUAAGACCGGGAUAGCCCUGGGAAACUGGGAUUAAUACCGGAUGUGAUAAUAUGUAUAGAGAUAUAUUAUUAAAGUUGAGGCGCUUAGAGAUGGGUGUGCGUUUGAUUAGCUAGUUGGUAGGGUAACGGCCUACCAAGGCGACGAUCAAUAGGGGGCGUGAGAGCGUGACCCCCCACACGGGUACUGAGACACGGACCCGACUCCUACGGGAGGCAGCAGUAAGGAAUAUUGGUCAAUGGACGGAAGUCUGAACCAGCCAUCCCGCGUGCAGGAUGAAGGUCCUAUGGAUUGUAUACUGCUUUUAGCAGAGACGAAACGCCGACAUUUAUGUUGGUCUGACGGUAUCUGCGGAAUAAGCACCGGCUAACUCCGUGCCAGCAGCCGCGGUAAUACGGAGGGUGCAAGCGUUAUCCGGAAUCACUGGGUUUAAAGGGUGCGUAGGCGGAUGAUUAAGUCAGUGGUGAAAGCUGGUCGCUUAACGAUCAAACUGCCAUUGAUACUGAUUGUCUUGAAUUGGGUUGAGGUUAGCGGAAUGUGACAUGUAGCGGUGAAAUGCAUAGAUAUGUCAUGGAACACCAAUUGCGAAGGCAGCUAACUGGGCCUUGAUUGACGCUGAGGCACGAAAGCGUGGGUAGCGAACAGGAUUAGAUACCCUGGUAGUCCACGCCCUAAACGAUGCUAACUCGAUGUUUGGACAGUAAGUUUGAGCAUCCAAGGGAAACCGAUAAGUUAGCCACCUGGGGAGUACGACCGCAAGGUUGAAACUCAAAGGAAUUGACGGGGGUCC
rnacentral:rRNA from 1 species